UACGUAGGGUGCAAGCGUUGUCCGGAAUUAUUGGGCGUAAAGCGCACGUAGGCGGCUUAGCAAGUCGGAAGUGAAAUCCCACGGCUCAACCAUGGAAGUGCUUUCGAAACUGCUGAGCUUGAGUACGAAAGAGGAUCGCGGAAUUCCCGGUGUAGAGGUGAAAUUCGUAGAUAUCGGGAGGAACACCAGUGGCGAGGGCGGCGAUCUGGGUCGAUACUGACGCUGAGGUGCGAAAGCGUGGGGAGCAAACAGG
rnacentral:rRNA from 1 species